rnacentral:rRNA from 1 species
UGCAGUCGACGAUGAACCACUUCGGUGGGGAUUAGUGGCGAACGGGUGAGUAACACGUGGGCAAUCUGCCCUGCACUCUGGGACAAGCCCUGGAAACGGGGUCUAAUACCGGAUACUGACCCGCUUGGGCAUCCAAGCGGUUCGAAAGCUCCGGCGGUGCAGGAUGAGCCCGCGGCCUAUCAGCUUGUUGGUGAGGUAAUGGCUCACCAAGGCGACGACGGGUAGCCGGCCUGAGAGGGCGACCGGCCACACUGGGACUGAGACACGGCCCAGACUCCUACGGGAGGCAGCAGUGGGGAAUAUUGCACAAUGGGCGAAAGCCUGAUGCAGCGACGCCGCGUGAGGGAUGACGGCCUUCGGGUUGUAAACCUCUUUCAGCAGGGAAGAAGCGAAAGUGACGGUACCUGCAGAAGAAGCGCCGGCUAACUACGUGCCAGCAGCCGCGGUAAUACGUAGGGCGCGAGCGUUGUCCGGAAUUAUUGGGCGUAAAGAGCUCGUAGGCGGCUUGUCACGUCGGUUGUGAAAGCCCGGGGCUUAACCCCGGGUCUGCAGUCGAUACGGGCAGGCUAGAGUUCGGUAGGGGAGAUCGGAAUUCCUGGUGUAGCGGUGAAAUGCGCAGAUAUCAGGAGGAACACCGGUGGCGAAGGCGGAUCUCUGGGCCGAUACUGACGCUGAGGAGCGAAAGCGU